GGGGCCAUAGUGUAGUUUGGUAGCACUGUAGGUUUGGGACCUGCCAACCCCGGUUCAAAUCCGGGUGGCCCCA
rnacentral:tRNA from 1 species